GGGAUUGCCUCAGUAACGGCGAGUGAAGCGGCAACAGCUCAAAUUUGAAAUCUGGCUCCUUCGGGGUCCGAGUUGUAAUUUGUAGAGAGUGUUUCGGGGGAGAGCGCGGUCUAAGUCCAUUGGAACAUGGUGUCAUAGAGGGUGAGAAUCCCGUAUGCGACCGCGAAUCGAACCCAUGUGAAGCCUCUUCGACGAGUCGAGUUGUUUGGGAAUGCAGCUCAAAAUGGGUGGUAAAUUUCAUCUAAAGCUAAAUACUGGCUGGAGACCGAUAGCGCACAAGUAGAGUGAUCGAAAGAUGAAAAGCACUUUGGAAAGAGAGUUAAACAGUACGUGAAAUUGUUGAAAGGGAAGCGCUGGCAACCAGACCUGCCCGUAGGCGAUCAGCCGCUGUUCUCAGCGGUGCACUCGCUCUGCGAUCAGGCCAGCAUCGGUUUCGGCGGUCGGAUAAAGGCCUUGGGAAUGUAGCUUCCUUUCGGGGGAGUCUUAUAGCCCUCGGUGCAAUGCGGCCAGCCGGGACCGAGGACCGCGCUUCGGCUAGGAUGCUGGCGUAAUGGUUGUCAGCGACCCGUCUUGAAACACGGACCAAGGAGUCUAACAUCUAUGCGAGUGUUUGGGUGUUAAACCCAUGCGCGGAAUGAAAGUGAACGGAGGUGAGAACCCUGAAGGGCGCAUCAUCGACCGAUCCAGAUGUCUUCGGAUGGAUUUGAGUAUGAGCAUAGCUGUUGGGACCCGAAAGGUCAGUACCAAAACCCCCCUUUGUUCUAAUGAAUCUAUGCUAACGUGUCUAACAGAUGGUGAACUAUGCCUGAAUAGGGUGAAGCCAGAGGAAACUCUGGUGGAGGCUCGCAGCGGUUCUGACGUGCAAAUCGAUCGUCAAAUUUGGGUAUAGGGGUAAGAUUUGGUCCUAAAAAUUAUCCACAUUCAAUGCUAACCCUUUAAUAUAGGCGAAAGACUAAUCG
rnacentral:rRNA from 1 species